UACAGAGGGCGCGAGCGUUGUCCGGAAUCACUGGGCGUAAAGGGCGCGUAGGUGGCCACUAUAAGGCCGCGGUGAAAGUUCGGGGCUCAACCCUGAAUCGGCCGCGGCGACUGUAGGGCUAGGGCACCGUAGAGGCAGAUGGAAUUCCGGGUGUAGCGGUGGAAUGCGUAGAGAUCCGGAAGAACACCGGUGGCGAAGGCGGCAUCCUGGACCGACACUGACGCUGAGGAGCGAAAGCGUGGGGAGCAAAUAGG
rnacentral:rRNA from 1 species